CGGUCUGGCAGUCCCCAGGGCUGUUCCAAUGCCCCCUCCCCCACCCCGCUCUGCAGGUGAGUAACCGCACCCCCUGCCGAGCAAAAUCCCGCCCCCAGGCCCAGGGGAAGCGUGGGCCUGACUGCGUCCUCCACCCCUUGCCCUGUCAACUGCUGGAGCAUCCCUCGCCCCUGGGGCCAGCUGUCCGGUGGGGCUCUAAAAGCCCCAGUCUGUGUUUCUGACGGUCCCACGCUGACUCCACCUGCUCGGUGACCCGACAGCUCCGGCUCCGCGCCUUUGCCCCGGCCGUGGUUAGCGCCCGGAAUGCCGUCCGUCCCUGCCCCCCGCGCCCCGCCAGUGCCUCCCCCCCCCGCAGAUGCCUGGGGUUUUAUGGGCUCGCGGGCUCUUAGCUGGCUCCUCGAGGUUGAUUUGGGAGCUCCAUGAGGCCCAGUCGCUGCCCUGUGUACACAGGGGGCCCCAGAGGCUUGUUGGUACUAACGUGUGUGUCUGCCUUCUGUCUCCUAAACCUCAGGCACCAUGCAGAGUGCUGGGGACGCCACUCAGCCUUCAAGCUUACAAUCUAAAUAAGGAAGAGAACAGACAAGGGAAGAAGACUCUCAAAGGUGCCACAUGGGAUCAUGAUGAGCCCUCUGAGGAAAACGUUCUGAGCCCGGCUCCCUCUUUAUGGAGCUUUUGGAGUUCCGGGUUCUACCUUGCAGUCAGAGGGACGGACAGAGCGAUGAUGACGGCAGGUCCCACUGCUGUUGGGAUCUUGCAGGAUGAUGAAAUUUUUCCCCAAUAAUGAACUUCCCUAUACCAUGGGGCAUGGUAUGGAAGUCCCAGCUAGGGGAGAAAUGACAUUUGAAUUAACCUUUAAAGGACUGUAGCUAUAGAUAGUAAUUCAGCUGGUGAUUAGGGAGGGAAACCGGGCCAGGCUUGAGAAACAAGGUAAGCAAAAACCCAGUUGUCAGGAAAGCACAAUGCAGUUCAAGCAGCCCCUAAAGUCUAUAUUGAAAGAAAGAAGAUUGGGGCUUCACUCCAAGAUAUAUCUCAGCAAGUAAGUAAUUACAAAGACUUUAUAAAAAGAAUUUUCCUUUUACAUAAUUCCUCCCGAAAUGAUUACUUAUCAACCUAAAAUAUCAUUAUUAGUAGUUUACCCUUAUAGAUUAAAGCUACUUUGCACACACCUUAUCCUGUGUGACUGGUCAGGACUUCAUGUACAUUUUCCUUUAAGAAUCUGUCUAAUACAUUGGAGGAAUUUCUCUCUUCAUAUUUUGAAAGUAUCUGGACAAUAAAUUAUGCUGUAGAUGGAGCAUUGGUGCUGGAGUCUGGAGGAUCUGAACUCAAAUCCAGCCUUAAGACAUUUAAUAAAGACUUUAAUACUUCCUAGCUGUGUGACCCUGGGCAAGUUCACUUUACCCCUAUUAGCUGCAAAAAGAAAGUAGCAGAUUAAUAUUUGGAUCAUGACUGCUACUCUGUCAUCUGCUCAUCUUUUCUCCCUGACUGCCUCUCAUGUAAGUCACAACUGAUAUUGUCUCUCAUAGCAGCAUAUUAUGUAUGCAUUGUGUA